AUACUUACCUGGUAGGGGAGAUACUAUGAUCAUGAAGGUGGUUCACCCAGGGUGAGGCUUGGCCAUUGCACUUCGGCUGUGCUGAUCCCUGGUCAUUCAUAAACAAUAAAAAAUAAAGCUUUCUCAGUUGUGUUCAUCACGCCGUGCUGGCAAUUGCUGUGC